rnacentral:lncRNA from 1 species
CAGCAAAGUUCAAGGAACUUAUGGUAAAGAUCAAUCACACUUAUGGCACUGCCAACAGAAGCACAUGCUUGUGGAAAAUAGCGUAAAAGAAUUUUAAGGAGGAGAGCUGGGCUCUGAAUUACACCGGAGGCAGAGCGUCUGGACAGUUUUCAUCAGAAGCCACGUCCUAGAGGUAGCGAGCUGUAAACAGUCGUUAAAAGCAACGGAGGAAUGUGUUAGGGUGGGCCCAGGAAGGUGUCAGGCCACGGCGGGCACGUGAGGGAAUGGGCACAGCCUUCAUUGUAGGCACAGAAGCUGGAGCCAGCGGGAGGAGGCAAGCGGGCAACCGAACAGAAUGAUGAGAAAAACCGAAGCUCAGGGAACAUUUCCAAGACCAAGAGCUGAGAACGCUGCGGAGCUGAAAUUUAAAUCCAGUUUGUCAGACCCCCCCAAUCCGACAUUGUCCCCUCGUCCUGCCAUGGCCCAUAUCCCAGGAGGACCUGUCACCAUCCUCCACCUUGCCCAGGCUAUCCUAUGGAUGCACUCCUCCCACCAUCUGCUCUCCCAAGCUCUGCUGAAACCCCCCUGCCUAGAACAAUUUGCUUCGUAGCUGACUUUCCAUAAACAUUCAUACAAUGGAUACAGAAAUGACACAGAGGUCAGCAUCAGAACCCAGGAUCCCCCAAAGCCCUGUUUCUCUCUUUCACAGCCUCUCUCUACCU